GGGCCCGUAGCCUAGUCUGGAUAAGGCACCAGCCUUCUAAGCUGGGGAUCGUGGGUUCAAAUCCCUCCGGGCCCA
rnacentral:tRNA from 1 species